AGUCCCGUGGUGAANUUUCACAUUGAAUUGCAAAUUCAAAGGAGCAGCUUCAANUUCUGCCGGGGCUU
rnacentral:tRNA from 1 species